UACAGAGGUCUCAAGCGUUGUUCGGAUUCAUUGGGCGUAAAGGGUGUGUAGGUGGCGCGCUAAGUCGGGUGUGAAAUUUCGGAGCUUAACUCCGAAACUGCAUUCGAUACUGGCGUGCUUGAGGACUGGAGAGGAGACUGGAAUUUCAUGGUGUAGCAGUGAAAAUGCGUAGAGAUCAUGAGGAAGACCAGUGGCGAAGGCGGGUCUCUGGACAGUUCCUGACACUGAGACACGAAGGCCAGGGGAGCAAACGGG
rnacentral:rRNA from 1 species